ACAUCCAGAGAACUUCCAGNGAUGGAUUGGUGCCUUCGGGAACUCUGAGACAGGUGCUGCAUGGCUGUCGUCAGCUCGUGUUGUGAAAUGUUGGGUUAAGUCCCGCAACGAGCGCAACCCUUAUCCUUUGUUGCCAGCGGUUAGGCCGGGAACUCAAAGGGGACUGCCAGUGAUAAACUGGAGGAAGGUGGGAUGACGUCAAGUCAUCAUGGCCCUUACGAGUAGGGCUACACACGUGCUACAAUGGCGCAUACAAAGAGAAGCGACCUCGCGAGAGCAAGCGGACCUCAUAAAGUGCGUCGUAGUCCGGAUUGGAGUCUGCAACUCGACUCCAUGAAGUCGGAAUCGCUAGUAAUCGUGGAUCAGAAUGCCACGGUGAAUACGUUCCCGGGCCUUGUACACACCGCCCGUCACACCAUGGGAGUGGGUUGCAAAAGAAGUAGGUAGCUUAACCUUCGGGAGGGCGCUUACCACUUUGUGAUUCAUGACUGGGGUGAAGUCGUAACAAGGUAGGCGUAGUGCU
rnacentral:rRNA from 1 species